AUGACAUCAGGGACAGAGGAUCUAAGCAGCUGGUGGCUCCAGGGAUCUCCAGUCUAUGCUUUACUUGGCCAGGGGGUUCCUGAAGGACCUGCCAGCAAACUUGGCUUUGCUGCCCACCUCUUCCUCAAUUCUAAGGAUCUGAUUGUACUUGGCCAGGCGUUAGAGGUGUACCACAACCUGAAGAAUGUCAUCAAGGAGAAGUACGGGAAGGAUGCCACCAAUGUGGGUGACGAGGGUGGAUUCGCACCUAACAUCCUGGAGAACAAGGACGCACUGGAGCUGCUCAAGACUGCAAUUGCCAAGGCCGGCUACACUGACAAGGUUGUCAUCAGCAUGGAUGUGGCUGCCUCCGAGUUCUACAGGUCUGGCAAGUAUGACCUGGACUUCAAGUCCCCGGAUGACCCCAGCAGGUACAUCACACCUGACCAGCUGGCCGAUCUGUACAAGUCCUUCAUCCAGGGCCACCCAGUGGUGUCCAUUGAAGACCCCUUUGACCAGGACGACUGGGAUGCCUGGCAGAAGUUCACAGCUAGUGCAGGCAUCCAGGUGGUGGGCGACGACCUCACAGUGACCAACCCUAAGCGGAUUGUCAAGGCUGCAGGCGAGAAGUCCUGCAACUGCCUCCUGCUCAUAGUGAACCAGACGUCUGGAACUCUUACCUGUCACAGUUGUAAGUCCCUUACGGGUUGCUUACAACUAUCAGCCACGGAGGCCGGCUUCCUCCUUCAGCCUCACCACACCCUCUCAGAGGCCGGCUUCUCCUUCAGCCUCACCACACCCUCUCAGAGGCCGGCUUCUCUUUCAGCCUCACUACACCUUCUCAGAGGCUGGCUUCUCCUUCAGCCUUACUACUACAAACCCAGAUAG